rnacentral:rRNA from 1 species
GCCUCCACUGCGCGACUAUAAACAACAGUGUAGCCCUGUUCAUUCAGGGCAACACCCUCAAAAUGCUGGAGGUCCUUAACUAAGGAUACCAGCAACCAAUCCGAUGGAAGACUCGGGAUGGUUCACAGAUCAAAUAAGGGUGGUCAAUUCUAAUUGAUGAAGAUAUGACCGGUCGUGUCUCGCAAGAGAUAUGAAUCAACGUUCCGUAGGUGAACCUGCGGAAGGAUCAUUACUGAGUAAGGGUGUUUUACGCCCGAUCUCCAACCCUAUGUUAAAACACUUUGUUGCUUUGGUAGGCCCGUCUUUCGGGACCGCCGGGGGCAUUCCAGCCUCUGGUCAGUGCUUACCAGUAGCCAAUUCAAAUUCUUUCUUAAUAAUGAAGUCUGAAUCUUAAUUAAAAUUUAAUUAAAACUUUCAACAACGGAUCUCUUGGUUCUGGCAUCGAUGAAGAACGCAGCGAAAUGCGAUAAGUAAUGUGAAUUGCAGAAUUCAGUGAAUCAUCGAAUCUUUGAACGCACAUUGCGCCCUUUGGUAUUCCGAAGGGCAUGCCUGUUCGAGCGUCAUUAUCAACCCUCAAGCCCGGCUUGUUAUUGGGUCCUUAUCGUUAAAGAUAGGCCCGAAAGAUAAUGGCGGCGUCAACAAUGACCCCAGAUGCAGCGAGCUUAUAGCAUACAUCGAAAGGUUUUGUUGCCCCGGCCUUAUUUUGCUUCGGCAAAUAUUUUUCAAAGGUUGACCUCGGAUCAGGUAGGAAUACCCGCUGAACUUAAGCAUAUC